UGGCUAGAUGAAUGACUAGAGCUUCUGCUAGAGGUGCUGUUGUGAUAAAAAGCUGAAGAUACUGGAGCAGAAGAGGAUUUAGAAGACGAGGAUGAUUUAUGACUUGACAAAGACGAGGAAUGAGAUGAAGAGCUCGCGGGACGAGAGCUUGAAGAAGAAGAACUUGUUAACGUAGAAGACGAAGUGCUCGAAGAAGAAGAAACAGUAGAAGAGAAAGAAGAAGAUGACUUUGAGGAAGAAGUAGUAGAAGAGAAAGAAGAAGAGGAAGGAGAAGAUGAUGAUGAUGAAAUAGUUGAAGAGGAAGAAGUAGGAGAAGAAGAGAACGACGACGACGAAGACAUAGAAGACGAAGAAAGGGUGGAAGAGAAAGAAGAAGAGGACGACGACGACGAUGAAAUUGUAGAAGAGGUUGAAGUGGGAGAAGAAGAGGAAGAGGAGGAAGAAGAAAUAGUAGAAGAGGUAGAUGUGGGAGAAGAAGAAGAGGAGGAGGACGAAGAAAUAAUGGAAGAAGAAGAAGACGAAGAUGAAGCAGUAGAAGAGGAAGAGGAAGAAGACAAGGACGAGGAAGUAGAAGAUGAUGAAGAAGAAGUAGAAGGAAUAGAAGAAGUACUUAAUGAAGAGGAAGUAAGUGUCGAACUAGAGGAGGAUGAAGGAGAGCUCGAUG